rnacentral:rRNA from 1 species
UACGUAGGGCGCGAGCGUUGUCCGGAUUUAUUGGGCGUAAAGAGCUCGUAGGCGGCUUGUCGCGUCGGCUGUGAAAACCCGCGGCUCAACUGUGGGCGGGCAGCUGAUACGGGCAGGCUGGAGUUCGGUAGGGGAGACUGGAAUUCCACGUGUAGCGGUGAAAUGCGUAGAGAUGUGGAGGAACACCAGUGGCGAAGGCGACUCUUUGGCCUGUAACUGACGCUGAGGCGCGAAAGCGUGGGGAGCAAACAGG